rnacentral:ncRNA from 2 species
CAUCGAGGUAGAGGUCGCGAGGUUCAUUAAUCCUGUGGAGUGGAGCAACACGUAGAAACAGGCCUAGGGAACAUCGCCGAAAUGACACUUUUUUGCUUAAAAAGUGUGGUUGGGUCGUAAGUAAAUAACUUACGAACUGUCUUAGCAAUUCGCUAAGGUGCGCUAUGUUUUGU